rnacentral:rRNA from 1 species
AGUGAACGCUGGCGGUAGGCCUAACACAUGCAAGUCGAACGGCAGCACAGUAAGAGCUUGCUCUUACGGGUAGCGAGUGGCGGACGGGUGAGGAAUACAUCGGAAUCUACUUUUUCGUGGGGGAUAACGUAGGGAAACUUACGCUAAUACCGCAUACGACCUACGGGUGAAAGCAGGGGAUCUUCGGACCUUGCGCGAUUGAAUGAGCCGAUGUCGGAUUAGCUAGUUGGCGGGGUAAAGGCCCACCAAGGCGACGAUCCGUAGCUGGUCUGAGAGGAUGAUCAGCCACACUGGAACUGAGACACGGUCCAGACUCCUACGGGAGGCAGCAGUGGGGAAUAUUGGACAAAGGGCGCAAGCCUGAUCCAGCCAUACCGCGUGGGUGAAGAAGGCCUUCGGGUUGUAAAGCCCUUUUGUUGGGAAAGAAAAGCAGCAGGUUAAUACCCCGCUGUUCUGACGGUACCCAAAGAAUAAGCACCGGCUAACUUCGUG